AGAGGACACUUUGCAUUGGCAGCACAUGCUUCAGUGCUCUGGGAGUGUUUAUAGCGCUGUGACUUUCACACUUCAUGACUGAGAGCUGCUGCUACAGAAACUUCACCCACAGCUACCAUGACUUUGAUCCCCGUCUUCAUCUGGACACUGAUCCUCUGGACUCAAGAAUGCAGAGGUCAAGCAACAGUAACUCAGACUCCUGCAGUGAAAUCUGUUCUUCCAGGAGAAACAGUCACUAUCAACUGUAAAACCAGUCCAGCAGUGUAUUAUCACAGCUCAUAUGGCCACGUUUUGCACUGGUAUCAGCAGAAAGCUGGAGGAGCUCCUAAACUCCUGAUUAAACUUGUGAAUCAGCUACAAUCAGGUAUUCCAGCUCGUUUCAGUGGCAGUGGAUCUGGAUCUGAUUUCACUCUGACCAUCAGUGGAGUCCAGACUGAAGAUGCAGGAGAUUAUUACUACUGUCAGUAG